CCAUACAACUAUGAUUGUUCACCACAUGGAGAAAUGAACUUUUCCUACCGGAUUCACAGUGCUUGCCAUAAAAUAAAUAGUUUGAAAUGUGAAAUGCUCAGGCUGAUAAAAGUCAUUGUUGUUCGAGAUGUUGCUGUUGGGAAAACUUGUCUUGUCCGGCGGUUUUGUCUACAAGCGUUUGAUACAAACUACAAGCAACUAUUAGGGUAGAUUUUGAAGCAGAAAAAUUUUAUAUAUUAGGAGUUCCUUACAUAUUGCAACUGUGAAUUCUGCUUAUAAAUUGACAGAAAAUGAGGCUAUUUAAGUAGCAAACACUAUUAAUGAUGAAUAUUGGCCAGUAUCUUCAAAAACAGGUUUGUAUUCUUCAGUUUAUUUAUUUAUUUAUUUAUUUUUUUGCAUUUCUUUUAUUCUAAUGUAAUUCAUAGCUUUUUUUUAUUGUUUAGUUUAUGAAUACUACUCUAUUUGCUUUUAUUCUAACUUUAUUAUAAUAAACUUAAAAAAUUGAAAGCAAUUUAAUGCAUAUAUGAUAAGUGAUUUUCUCAAAACGCAAACUUUUUGAGAAACUUGAAGGGAAAAAAACGACAAUUUUGAACAUUUUAUCUAAUGAUUAUCUUAAUAUUAAUAAUUUUUACAUUAGGACCAUACAUUUAAGUAUACAAUGUCCAGCAAUGAAAAACUCGAAAAAUUAAAAUUUUAUGACAGUUAUUGCAUUAUUAGACAGUUUUUAAUUAUUAUUGCAAAAGUCUAAUUAUUGUCCCCUCACUUAAAUGCUUUAAAAAAAUUUAAAAUAUUUUUUUUCUAUGAA